UACGUAGGGGGCAAGCGUUGUCCGGAUUUAUUGGGCGUAAAGGGCGCGUAGGCGGCUUUUCAAGUGACGGGUGAAAUCCCUCGGCUUAACCGAGGAACUGCCUGUCAGACUGGAAGGCUUGAGACCGGGAGAGGUGAGUGGAAUUCCCAGUGUAGCGGUGAAAUGCGUAGAUAUUGGGAGGAACACCAGUGGCGAAGGCGGCUCACUGGACCGGAACUGACGCUGAGGCGCGAAAGCGUGGGGAGCAAACAGG
rnacentral:rRNA from 1 species